UUUUCCUUCUCUAUUACUUGCCACCUAAUCUUCAGACCUAUGCAGAGACAAUAGCAUCAGUAUCUUUGCCUUAAAGCAAUAGACAUUUCAGAUUUGCAAGUAUUGAGCAGAAGCAUCUCUGGAAGACUGGG